rnacentral:rRNA from 1 species
UACGUAGGGUGCAAGCGUUAUCCGGAAUUAUUGGGCGUAAAGAGCUCGUAGGCGGUUUGUCGCGUCUGCUGUGAAAACUGGAGGCUCAACCUCCAGCCUGCCAGUGGGUACGGGGCGAGACUAGAGUGCGGUAGGGGAGAUUGGAAUUCCUGGUGUAGCGGUGGAAUGCGCAGAUAUCAGGAGGAACACCGAUGGCGAAGGCGGCAUCCUGGACCAUUACUGACACUGAAAAGCGAAAGCCAGGGGAG